rnacentral:rRNA from 1 species
CCCAGACUCCUACGGGAGGCAGCAGUGGGGGAUAUUGCACAAUGGGGGAAACCCUGAUGCAGCGACGCCGCGUGGGUGAAGAAGCGCCUCGGCGCGUAAAGCCCUGUCAGCAGGGAAGAAAAUGACGGUACCUGAAGAAGAAGCCCCGGCUAACUACGUGCCAGCAGCCGCGGUAAUACGUAGGGGGCGAGCGUUAUCCGGAUUCACUGGGUGUAAAGGGAGCGUAGACGGCCAAGCAAGCCAGGGGUGAAAGCCCGGGGCCCAACCCCGGGACUGCCCUUGGAACUGCACGGCUGGAGUGCGGGAGGGGCAGGCGGAAUUCCUGGUGUAGCGGUGAAAUGCGUAGAUAUCUGGAGGAACAUCAGUGGCGAAGGCGACUAUCUGGCACAUAACUGACGCUGAGGAGCGAAAGCGUGGGUAGCAAACAGGAUUAGAUACCCCGGUAU